CAGCCCCUCCAGACCAGAGGUCUCUCUUCUUCUCUCGGUCUUUUCCACUGAUAGCAGUGUGUUGGCUGAUACUGUUAGUCAUCAUGGGCCUUCGUAUCUACUUUACUUCUGUCAUUUCU